UCUCGCCCUUCAACACUAGAUGGUGCAUUUGGCAACAACAAAAAUGCAAGGGCAAUGAGGCCACUAGGGGAUGAUGGUGGAUGGCCCAAAAGAGAAGCUAAUGGGAGUCUAAUUUCUAUUGCCGUUCCAUCCACUGUUAUAGCGUUGAUUAUUUGCACUGCGGAUGGUUGCUAUUACUCAAAUUCAGGGAUUCAGAUGACAUGACUCAAAGAUAUCCACAUAUUGCAAUUCCAAAAUUUUCCGGGUCUUCUGGUGCUCUCCCUUGUUUCCGCUGCUGCCUCUCGCGCUUCUACACCUCGCGCCACACCUGAUUUGGCCUCUCCGUCCUCGGUGUCCAACACGAGGAGCAGUACACGAGGCUGCACCGCAGCCGGUGACAAGGAGGAUGACAUUGGGAGGCGGCAAUGGAGUUGUGGUGGGCUGUAGGAAGGACGGAAAGACAGCGGCAUCACGCUUGAAAGACGGCGGCAUCAAGCUCGAAUCGGUCGCUAGCAUCAUCAAUGGUUUGAGCUAUCAAGAGUGGAAUGGAAGGUGGAAAGAGAAUGGUGCGAUUUCUUCAUCUACGAUAACUCUGCUCUUGUACUCUUGAGGAAUGCUGACCAG